rnacentral:tRNA from 1 species
GCGGAAGUAGCUGGUAGUAGGCAGAGCGUAACGAUGCCAAGGUUAAGGUAACUCGUUCGAUUCUCGUCUUCCGCU